AUUGAACGCUGGCGGCAGGCCUAACACAUGCAAGUCGAGCGAGCGGCGGACGGGUGAGUAAUGUCUGGGAAAAUGCCUGAUGGAGGGGGAUAACUACUGGAAACGGUAGCUAAUACCGCAUACCAUCAGAUGUGCCCAGAUGGGAUUAGCUAGUUGGUGGGGGAACGGCUCACCUAGGCGACGAUCCCUAGCUGGUCGGAGAGGAUGAACAGCCACACUGGAACUGAGACACGGUCCAGACUCCUACGGGAGGCAGCAGUGGGGAAUAUUGCACAAUGGGCGCAAGCCUGAGGCAGCCAUGCCGGUUGUGUGAAGAAGGCCUUCGGGUUGUAAAGCACUUUCAGCGGGGAGGCGUUACCCGCAGAAGAAGCACCGGCUAACUCCGUGCCAGCCGCCGCGGUAAUAC
rnacentral:rRNA from 1 species